GGAAGGAAGGAAAAAACAAAAAUGAGUGGCUCAGGGAUUAAUGCCCAGUAGCCAAGCUGAGGCCAGGCUGAAAAGGCUGGAAGUCUUUACUAAAUAGGAGACAAACAUAGGAAAGGAAAUGUAUAGUGACAGUAAACUAGAUAAGCUAAGUGACAAGAUAAAACCAUAUUCUUCUUCAGUUUUUGGGUAUCCACAGAAUUAUAUGUGAAUUCUUCCAAAAAGCCCAGAGACAGAUAAAAUUUAUUUCUCCUAUGUAGCUAAGGUCACUUGAAUAAUUGACCCUGGGAACAUCUACACCUGCAUGCAGAAGCACCUUGUGCUAAACAGAAUAAUCUGUGUUCACAUAACACAUACACUAGAUGUGUGGCUUUUUAAAAAGAAAAAUGUCUCUGAACUUUUUAAUAUAAUAUUUAAAUAUAAUUUGGUUAAUGAGGCCUACUAAUUUAAUAUAAUAAUUUAAUAUAAUUUGGUUAAUGAGGCCUCCUAUGGUCAAAAUUUAAUGCAUCCCUCAUCUGCAUAGCCCUUUAACACAUACUUGUGAUAGCAUGUUAUAGGUCUGACCAAGCCUGAGCUUGAGAUAUUGACCAUCUUAGUAGUGAGUCUUUUUUUUUUGAGAUUGAGUUUUGCUCUUUUCACCCACGCUGGAGUGCAAUGAACUUAAACUAUACCCUAGAACAAAUGGACUUAACUGAUAUUUACAGACUAUUCUACCUAACAAUUCAGAAUAUACAUUUUUUUCAUCAGCACAUGGAACAUUCUCCAAGAUAGACCAUUUGAUCGGCCACAAAACAAAUCUCAAUAAAUUUAAGAAAAUCAAAAUUAUAUCAAGUACUCUCUCAGACUACAGUGGAAUAAAAUUGGAAAUUAACUCUAAAAGGAACCCUCAAGACUAUACAAAUAUGUGGAAAUUAAAUAAUCUGCUCCUGAAUGAUCUUUGGAUCAACAAUGAAAUAAAAAUGGAAAUUAAAAAAUUCUUUGAACUGAAUGAUAAUAGUGACAGAACAUGUUAAAACCUCUGGGAUACAGCAAAAGUGGUGCUAAGACGACAUUUCAUAGCAUUAAAUGCCUACAUCAAAAAGUCUGAAAGAACACAAAUAGAGAACCUAAGAUCACACCUCAAGGAACUAGAGAAACAAGAACAAACCAAACCCAAAACCAGCAGAAGAAAAUAAAUAACAAAAGUCAGAGCAGAACUAAAUGAAAUUGAAACAAACAAACAAAAAACAAUACAAAAGAUAAAUGAAGCAAAAAGAUGGUUCUUUGAAAAGAUAAAAAAAAUUGAUAGACCAUUAGUGAGAUUAACCAAGAACAGAGAGAAGAUCCAAAUAAGCUCAAUUAGAAAUGAAACAGAAGAUAUUACAACUGAUACCAUAGAAAUACAAAAGAUCAUUUAAGGCUACUAUGAACACCUUUAUGCACACAAACUAGAAAAUCUAGAGGAGAUGGAUAAAUUCCUGGGAAUAUGCAACCCUACUAGAUUAAAUCAGGAAGAAAUAGAAACUCUGAACAAACCAAUAACAAGUAGUGAGAUUGAAAUGGUAAUUAAAAAAUUGCCAACAAAAUAAAGCCCAGGAUCAGAUGGUUACACAGCUGAAUUCUAUCAGGCAUUCAAAGAAGAAUUGGUACCAAUCUUACUGAAAUUAUUCCAUAAGAUAGAGAAAGAGGGAAUCCUCCCUAAGUCAUUCUAUGAAGCCAGUAUCACCCUAAUAGCAAAACAAGAAAAGGACAUAAUAAAACAAGAAAACUACAGACCAAUAUCCCUGGUGAACAUAGAUGUGAAAAUCCUCAACAAAAUACUAGCUAACUGAACCCAACAGCAUAUCAAAAAGAUAAUACACCAUGAUCAAGUGGAUUUCAUGCCAGGAAUGCAUGGAUGGUUUAACAUACACAAGUCAAUAAAUGUAAUACAUCACAUAAGCAGAAUUAAGAACAGAAAUUAUAUGAUCAUCUCAAUGGAUGCAGAAAAAGCAUUUGCCAAAAUCCAGCAUCACUUUAUGAUGAAAGCCACCAGCAAAGUCAGCAUAGAAGGGACAUAACUCAAAGUAAUAAAAGCCAUCUAUGACAAACACACAGCUGACAUUAUAGUGAAUGGAGAAAAGUUGAAAGCAUUCCCUCUGAGAACUGGAACAAGAAAAGGAUUCUUACUUUCACCACUGCUACUCAAUAUUGUACUGGAAGUCCUAGCCAGAGAAAUCGGACAAGAGAAAGAAAUAAAGGACAUCCAAAUUGCAAAAGAGAAAGUCAAACUGUCACUAUUCACUGAUAUAAUGACAUGAUAUGAUGACAUAAUUGUAUACCUAGAAGACCCUAAAGACCCAUCCAGAAAGCUCCUAGAUGUGGUAAAUGAAUUCAGUAAAGUUUCAGGAUACAAAAACAAUGUACACAAAUCAGGAGUACGGCUAUACAACACCAACAACCAAACUAAUAAUCAAAUCAAGAACUCAACCCCUUUUACAACAGCUGCAACAAAAUUAAAUACUUAGGAAUAUACCUAACCAAGGAGGUGGAAGAUCUCUACAAGGAAAACUACAAAAAACUGCUGAAAGAAAUCAUAGAUGAUACAAACAAAUGGAAACAUAUCCUAUGCUCACAAAUGGGUAGAAACAAUAUUGUGAAAAUGAGCAUACUACCAAAAGCAAUCUACAAAUUCAAUGCAAUUCCCAUCAAAAUACCAUCAUCAUUCUUCACAGAACUAAAACAAAUAUUAAAAUUCAUAUGGAACCAAAAAUGAGCCUGCAUAGCCAAAGCAAGACUAAACAAAAAGAAGAAAUCUGGAGGCAUCACAUUACCAGACUUCAAACUAUACAACAAUGCUGGUAGAAGAGCCUGAUGGCCUGGUGUUGGGCCUGAUCACCCCAAAAUUUCAGGCACCCAACGUGGGGCUAUGAAGACCAUGGUAAAGAAAUGCUAGAGUAUAUGGAAAUGAAGGACAUAUCAUCAAAGGACACCCGAGGAUGGCUGAAAGAAGCUUGGUGGGUAAGCUGGGCACUCUGAAGAACCAAGGUAACAAUGGGACAAAAUGAAAGUAAACAUUCUGCUUGUUUAAACUUUCUAAGGCAUUUAUUAUGGAGAGGGGGAGUGAAAGUUAGUACUCAGAAUUUAUUAACACUCUUUAGUACAGUGGAGCAGUUUUGCCUGUGGUUCCUAGAACAAGGGACAAUGGAGUUCGAUGAAUGGGAAAGAAUUGGCAGAGAUCUAAAAAAGGUGCAUAAAGAAGGAGCCAAAAUUCCAGUUUCUUUUUGGUCAGUGUGGGCAUUGAUAAAGGCAGGUCUUGAGCCAUUUCAAACAAAUGAUGAGGCAGAUUCA